UACUAGAGUAGCACUCGCAUAUCAAUAAGCGGAGGAAAAGAAACUAACAAGGAUUCCCCUAGUAACGGCGAGUGAAGCGGGAAGAGCUCAAAUUUGAAAUCUUAAAGGGUUUCCCUUUACGAAUUGUAGUUUAAAGAAGUGUUUUCUGUUGAGGUUUUGGUAAAAGUUCUUUGGAAUAGGACAUCAUAGAGGGUGAGAAUCCCGUAUUUGACCUUUACUUUCAACUUUGUGAUACACUUUCAAAGAGUCGGAUUGUUUGGGAAUGCAGUCCAAAAUGGGUGGUAAAUUUCAUCUAAAGCUAAAUAUUGGCGAGAGACCGAUAGCGAACAAGUACCGUGAGGGAAAGAUGAAAAGAACUUUGAAAAGAGAGUUAAACAGUACGUGAAAUUGUCAAAAGGGAAGCGUUUGACACCAGUGUUGUUUUUCUGAAAAUCAAUUAAAGAACUGUUUAUGCUAAGUUGUUUAGACUUUAUCAGCUAUCUGUUUAGUUUUAGGCUUUUCUUUAAUGCACUUUUCAGUUAACAAGUCAACAUCAAUUUCUUUUGCCUGUAAAAAAGCUUGAGGAAGGUGGCUUGAGAUUCGUCUUAAGUGUUUAUAGCCUCUUGCCUAUGCAGUCGGAGAGAUUGAGGUCUGCAGCGUAGAUCCUUCGGGGCUAAAUGCAUUUGUGCUAAGUUAUAGCAUUUUAUAGACAACUUGUUGACUAUGAUUUGUCUUGUAGCUUACUCGCUUAUGUUAUUUUACCUACGCUUAGGAUGUUGAGCGCAUGUCUCUCUCU
rnacentral:rRNA from 1 species